CAGGGUUUGGCUUUGCACCUUACGGACCUUUUUGGCGUGAGAUGCGCAAGCUAUCGGUGGUGGAAAUUCUCUCUGCUCGCCGCCUCAAUGAAUUGAAGGAUGUACGGAUUUCUGAAUUGGAUGCUUGCAUCCAAGACUUGUACUCACUUGGCAAAGACAACAACUGGAUCAGUCCAAUAGAAGUGGUUAUGAGUGAGUGGUUUGAACACUUGACAUUCAAUUUCGUUCUUAGGAUGAUUGCUGGGAAGAGAUAUUUUGAUAACGCGGUCCAUGGAAAUGAAGAGGCAAGGGGUGCUAUAAUAGCCAUUAAAAAAUUCCUGUCUCUAUCUGGGGCCUUUGUUCCAUCAGAUGUGUUUCCAUUUCUUGAACGGUUGGAUUUGAAAGGCUAUUUGGGCUCCAUGAAGCAUGUUGCUGAGGAAUUGGACUGUCUUGUAGGAAGUUGGGUAGAAGAACAUGUUAUGAGGUUAAAGAGUGAGCCCGGAAGCAGGCAUGACUUCAUUGAUGUACUGCUAUCAGCAGUCCAAGACACCUCCAUGUUCGGCCACAGUCGUGAAACUGUUAUCAAGGCAACGAUAGGGGUAUGUUCUCUUACCUUCACAUAAAUAGUUUCAAAUUUUCAAUUAAUAUUACUAAAUAAAUACUACAUCUACUAGCUAGUAAUCAUUAUUAUAUUGUACAGGCUCAUUCACUUUUGUUAUUGUUGUUGCUGUUGUCCCAAAAAUGUAUCGGUGAUUUUAAGAAUAAAGAAUACUAGUAUAUAUAUAUAUAUAUAUAAGAGUUAACUGAUGCUUGAACCUAAUAUGUUAAAAGAGAGCAUAAUAUACCUAAAUCCUAUAAAUUUAAAUUUUUAAGAAAAUUGGUUCUUCAACAACAUUCACUAUUGGUAUGCCCUCCUGUGCAAGUAACAUAGUGUUUUUUAACUUUAAUUUCUUCAAGAGAUAUAUAGAUUGAAAUGCUAGCUAGGUGGGGUUCAUAACCUUGCUAUGUGGCAUUCACUUACCUCGCGAUUGAACAGGAGUCCAUAGUGCACGAAUAAGGAGGAUUGGUGAAACUGGCAUCUUUCAAUGAUGUAGUCAUUGAGGGACUACCAAUGAAUUCUGAUAAUGCAUCUUUGUAUAUUAGGCACAUUAAUUUAUCCAAGGUUCACUUUUUUUCUAAUACCAUUUAUUUUUGGUUAAUUAUUUGUUGAAAUUUAAAACCAUGCAUAUACAGAAUCUCAUCGUGGGAGGCUCAGACAGCACAUCUAUUACCUCGACAUGGAUCCUGUCUGCAUUACUGAAUAAUAGAGAAGCAAUGAAGCGUGCUCAGGAAGAGCUAGAUCUAAAAGUUGGGAGGAGCAGAUGGGUGGAAGAAUCAGAUAUUCAGAAGCUAGAUUACCUUCGGGCUAUCAUUAAGGAGUCUCUAAGGCUAUAUUCAGCUGCUCCCCUAUUAGUACCGCAUGAGGCGACCCAAGAUUGUCAUGUUUGUGGGUAUCACAUUCCUAAAGGUACCCGUUUGUUCGUGAAUGCAUGGAAGUUACACCGAGAUCCGCGUGUUUGGUCCAACCCGGAAGAGUUUGAGCCAGAGAGGUUUUUGGGAAGUCAUGCAAACCUGGAUGUUUUUGGUCAUCAAUUUGAGCUCAUCCCAUUUGGGUCUGGUAGAAGGGCUUGCCCAGGGAUCAACAUGGCUUUGCAAAUGUUACACUUGACAUUUGCUAGGUUACUUCAAGGAUUUGACAUGGCCACACCAUCAAAUGCUCCGGUCGACAUGACUGAAGGGAUAAGUUUCACCAUGCCUAAGUUAACCCCACUAUGCGUUAUGCUUACUCCACGCCUUCCUUCUCACCUCUAUUAGUGCUCACACUUGCAUGUGUGUGUGUAACCGGCUGCUCAAGGUAUAAACCAACCAGUAGGCUCGUAGAUACUUCUAUUAAUAUGAUGAUGUGAUAUAAUUUUUCCAUAUGCUAUAAUUUAUAAAAUAACUGAUCAUAUAUGAUACUUUAAAACUUCAAGAUAAAUAUUAAUAUUUAUGUACAUUUAUUUGUGUGAUGAAUACCAAUUGAUUUUAGGAUAUCUUUAUCUUAGAAGGAGUAACAAAUAAAAACAAAGAAUUUUUCGAAUGCUGUAUAUCUUUCUUAAAGAUAGAACCUUUUUACAUUGAGAAGAAAAUUUGUACAAGAAAAGUUUAAAAUUACAAUCCUCAAGAUUGGUUAUAUAUAAUUAAGGUAUGUAUAGCAAGCAAAUUCCUAAAAUCAUGCAAUGAGGUCAAGUAUGGAAUCUAAUUAAAUAAAAUCUCUAAUAGCAUGCCAAACAAUCUCUCGAGGUACUAUAUUGGAUGCCUUCCCUCUAAUUGAUGCUAGGGAAUGGACAAGUAUCAAUUUGUCAACUAAGAAUUGAUGUCCUAUCUUCGUUUAGGACUUCAUAAAGAUAUCAAUAAAUUUAAAACUCUAUGGAAGCAUGAGGUAGUGUGAUAGUAUGAUCGGCAUAUGCAUCUCAAAUGUAGUGACAGUCCGCUUUUGUGUUUAGUUCAUUCAUGAAGAAUAGGAUUUACAGUCAUUCGAAUGGCACUCACGUUAUCAACAUAUAAAGGUGUGGGAUUUGGUUAAGGAAACCUAAUACAAAUAGCAUUUGAUGAAGCCAAAUAAUUUUAGAAUAAGUUGAUGAGAAAGCUCUAUAUUCCGAUCUAUAAAAGAUUUAGACCUUUAUUUAUUUAUUAUUAUUUUUCAUUUUCAUGAAACAAGAGAACCACCAACAUAUACACAUGAACCUAUAUUGGAACGUUGGGAAUUAGGACGCCUUGCCUAAUCAACAUCAUUGUAAGCUUUGAGAAUAAGAAGUGAUCCAACCUUGUAAAAUAUCCCAUGAUAAUAAGUCCUAAGUAAAUAGUGAAUUAUCCUUUUAACUCCUACAAGAUGUAAAUGAUGAGGUUGAUGCAUAAAUUGAGACUCAUUAAAUUCACAAAAUAAGAUAUGUUUGAUAUGGUAAUUGUCAAGUAAAUUAGGUUCCUAACUAACAAGAUGUAAAUGAUGAGGUUGAUCCAUAAAUUGAGACUCAUUAAAUUCACAAAAUAAGAUAUGUUUGAUAUGGUAAUUGUCAACUAAAUCAAGUUCCUAACUAAUUGUCAAUAUGUAGUUGAAUUCAAAAGUAAUUCUCCAUCCUUAUUUGAAAAUUUCACAUUCAUUUCCAAAAGAGUAUCCAUAGGUGUUGAAUUCUCAAGUCCAACCAAAGCAAUCAAAUCUUUGGUGUAUUUAUGUUGAUUGAAAAAAAUAUGUGAGGUGAAAGACAAAUUUCAAGUCCUAGAAAAUAAGUAAGACUCCAAGAUCUUUCAUAUGAAAAGCGAAACGUAAAAAGAAUUAUAGCUCUUGAAUACGAUGACUAUUAGUCCAAGUGAUGAUAAUAUCAUCGACAUAAAUAAGAGGAAUGGUGUACCAACUAUAAAACAAUGAAGAAACGUGGAAAGAUCAUUGGAACUAUGGUUAAAAUCCAAAUUAUGUAGCGAGUGGUGAAAUUUAGCAAACAAUGCACAAAGAGCUUGUUUAAGCCCAUAAAUAUAACAUCAAAGACGACAUACAUGAGUUUUAGAACCAUAUCUUACUGUGGACCCUCCAUUUUGUUAUCCUAGCACAUGUCCUAUUAGGUAUUUGUUUGGUACUUUAUAGCGAUUUUUUGGUGUCCCAUUACUACUCAUGUAGCUUAUCUUUUUAAAAAUAAGUUAUAAAAAUUAUAAUAUUUUAAUUAUUUAUAAAAUAUAUUUAUUUUAAUGUAAUUAAAAAAUUUAAAAUAAUUUUUUUAAAAAAAUUAAACAAUUUUUUCUUUUUUUAAAAAAAACUAAAUGAGGUAGGAUGGGACGAGUAUGAGAAUUUCUCAUACUUGCCCCACGUUGUUUAAUAUUUUUAAUGGGGGGAGGAUGAAAAUUAUUUCCAUUAAAUGGGCUGAAUUGGAAUGAGGGCGACAUCUCUCAAACUUGUCGUGUCAUCCCUACACAACAUCCUUGCCUUGCAUUCCAUGAUACUAUGAACAUUCUGUGACACUAUGAACAUGUACAUAUACAAUUUUACAAGGAUGCAUAUUAAGAUUAAGGUACAAUAAGAGGCACCAAUGUGACUACAAUUAUUUGAGUUAGCUCUAUGCCUCUCUCCAUGAUAUUAAUUUUGUUAUUAAAUCAAUGGUUGUAAAAACUUAUUUUAAUUCAUUAAUUAAUUAGGUUCUAAUAUUAAAAUAUAACAUUAUAGUUGUUAAAUGCAAAGUUAUAAUAAAAAUAAUUAAAUCUAACUAUAAAAGCAUAUUAAGUCUUAAAUUAGAUUUAAAAAAAGGGAGGAAAAGAAAAGCUUAACUAUAAGAGAAUCAUUACCAUAUAAAGAACAUACAUGUACGAGCAAGUUAAAUUUCCCUACUAUAUUAAAGAAGGGCAACAAAUCAUGACUAAUCAUGUUACAUCUCUAUAUAUAUCUUAUUUCUUUAUAUUUAAAGAUCUCAUUUAAUUGUACGUGGAUCCCAUUAAUUUAAAUUUAAAUAUAAUGUUUUUAUUUUAUAUCUUGGUUUAACUACCAAAUUUAAUAGAACUUACAUUAAAAAUAGAAUUGAUCUAGUUUAGUUGUCAAUUGAUCUCAUUAAUUCAAUCUAAAUAUAAGUUUUUAUUUUAUAUUUUGGUUUAACUACCUAAAUUGAAUCAGACUUAUCCUAUUAAUUCAAUCUAAAUAUAAUUAUUUUUUAUUUUUUAUUUUAUAACUUGGUUCAACUACUUAAGUUUAACCAGACUUACAUUAAAAGUCAAAUUUAAUAUCCAUAUAUUGUAUUUAAAGAUCUCGUUCAGUAGUCAAUUCAUCACAUUAAUUUAAUCUAAAUAUAACAUUGUUUUAUUUUAUAUCUUUGUUUAACUAUAUAAAUUUAAUUGGACUUAUAUUAAAAGUCGAAUCGGAUCCCCUUAAUUCAAUCUAAGUAUAAUUUUUUAUUUUAUAUCUUGGUUUAACUACCUUCAUUUAAUUUGACUUAUAUUAAAAGUCGAAUUUAAUAACCACAUUUUUGUAAAAAAAGAUCUUGUUUAGUUAUAGUCCUCGAUGCCAUUAAUUCAAUCUAAAUAUAAUAUUUUAUUUUAUAUCUUGGAAUUAUAUUAAAGGUGGAAUUUCAUAUCCACAUCAUAAGUUAUCAUUGUAUAAAUGCAUAUUUCCAUGGAUUUGGUGGUAUAGUAACUUUAAUAUAAAGUUAAUGUUAAAUAAUAAGAUUGUCUUCCUUAAUAAAUAAAAAAACAAACAAAAAAACAAAAAAAGUUGAGUAAUUGGGAAGUUGACAGCUGGUAAUUCUCUUAAUUCAAUCUAAGUAUAAUUUUUUAUUUAAUAUCUUGUUUUAAACUUUUAACUACCUAAAUUUAAUGUAACGUACUUUAAAAGUUGAAUUUAAUAUCUUUUGUAUUUAAAAAUCUAGUUGUCAAUUGACAGCUGGACGUAAGUGCUUUUCCAAGUAAUCAAAAGCAAUCCAACGUGUGUACGCAUUGAAAAGCCAGCUGUUCAAAAAUUACACCUCCCAAUAAAUGUAGACCAAAAAGCCGCCAACUGUGGAAUCGCUUUUGAAUCUCAUCGACUCUCAUCUCUUCUCCUCUCUGCUAUCCAAUUUCGAGCUGGUGAUUCUCUCCAUAUUCAUCCAUAUUCUCAUAAGUUUUCUUUUAUCAACGUUUGCAUUCAUGGGUGUGUGUUUGUUUCUCUUUCAUCAUUGACUUAGUUUUGAUUGAUUGCGUAAAUUAUCCUUUCAAAUUUGUGAAAUUUAGAACUAAGUUUGAUGGGUGAUUCUUUUUCCAAUGGGUGAUGUAGCAGCGAAACGAAGUUUCAGGCCUCUUGUUGUUUUGGUUUCCAACAAAUGAAUAAUUCAUAUUAACUAAGCCAAAAUAGUGUCAUAUGCUCAAUUGAAUACGGGGUUUGUGUUUUCAGGUCCAAAAUGAUGAAAAGUCUAAGAUUAAUUGAUUUCUUUCAUUCUCUUAUAUUUUCUUAGCAGCCAAACAGAUUGUGACUGUUAAAAUGAUAAAGGAACAUUUUUUCUUUUCUGGACUAGCUUAACCUUUAUUUUCUGCAGAUUUGCAUUGUGAUCGAAGUGCUAUGUCAUAUGAAAAUUGAGAAUGCAUUAGUGGAAAAUAAUUAUAUGUAGCAUGCUAAUAUUAUACAUAGUGAAAAUUGUGCUAAGUGUUGAUAUGCUAAUGUCAUAUUUAUGUAUGUAUGUAUAUGUCAGGACGGUAAGCGUGGCAUGAGGACGGUAAAUUUUCCACUGCAAUUGGAUUCAGAACCAAAGAAAUCAUGAAAAUUGUCUGAUAUUUAGACAAUGCUUCUGAGCUAGAUAAUGUACCCAACAAUUUACCAACCAUUCUUGGUACUUCUAGACGAAAUGUGUGUUUCAUGCAUAGCAAACUAUACUACGUUAUAAGUUUAUAACAGCAUAUUUCCUUUCACUUGAAUUAACUUUAGGGUGCUGAAAAGGCAAAAGGUGAGGAGUGUUGAAGAAGUUGAACUAUGACUGCCUGGCAAAAGGCAAGGUUGAAAGUGACCUACUUUGCAAGAAACAUUUUGUGGAACCAAACAACUUAAGUUUUGUGAUAUAUAUAUAUAUAUAUAUUAUGCCUUUGUGGUUGGUCUUCCUUCAUCAGGCCUAAUGGGCAUACUUUUCUGUGUCAUUUCACCAGCCAUCUCCGAUAUCAAGUUGGGAAAUUGAAAUUUUGUCUCUUUGCUUCCCGGUUUGCACCAGGAGCAGAAAUCCAUAGAAGUAUUGACCCCAUAUAAACUCUGGUAUUGUCAAGAUCUUUUGCAUGCAUUAAUUUUGAGGACCACCGAUUCUCAUCUGUGAAUCUAAAAUUUUCUUUUACAUGGGGGAAAAGUAUGGGAAACUUCAAUUCAAAUGAGAAGCAUACAUUGAUAUAGAAAAUAAGCGAAGUAAUGGGUCACCACUGGAAGUUUUACAUAGGAUACAAAACAUUUUUCAGACAGGAUAUUUUAUUAUUUUUUAAUAUUUGUAACUUCAUUGAAAAUUAUAUUUGUAAUAUGAUUUAGCUUGUGUGUGUAUAUAUACAUAUAUGUAUUAUUUAGAAUAAUCUCUUCCAAUUCUCACAUUCUAUAUAGAAUCCAUCUUUUGUGAUAUAGGUUCAAUAUAACUUCUGGUAUGGGGAAUUCAGAAUCAGCAUUUGAUGAUUCUCAUCAUGAUUUUCUGCAUCAAACCCCUUCUUAUGCAGGAACUUCAAUGGCAUAGGCGGCAAUUGCCUUACGUAGCCAAUAAUUUCAACUCUUUGGAUCAGGUUUCUUCAUUAACCUUCUAUUUGUUAGUUGGAGUUGAAUGGAAUUUGGAAUUAUUGAUACUCUUGCUCCUUGAUACCUUGUUAGUGAAACUGUUUCUUUUAUAAAAUGCCUGUUGAGAAGUUUAACACCAUGAGGGUUCAUGCAAUGGAACCACACUGUAACUAAGAUGACUGGUUGUUUUUUGAAGAUAUCCAAGCAUGUGAAACAUGAAAUUUCAAAUCAUGAGAUUUUUAUUGAGGUUGUUUGUCCCAUAUGAAUGUGUAAGUUCAUGUACAAUGUGGAUAUCAACUUCAUGCAACAUUCUAGCUCAUAGAAAACUGAAUCCAAUCAUAGAUGAAGCUUUAGGGUCAAUUUAAAGCCUCCUGAGCAUAUCUAACACACAACCUUUAGUUGCUUUGAUGGUCAAUGGGGUGCAUAAUUUUGGGUUGAGCACGUUGCAUGGUUUUGACAUCAAAUCCAAACCAGACCUUUUUUUUGGAAUAUCAAUGGAGAGCUAAUCUGACAUGAGAUUUGAACUGAAAAGCAACCAAAUUCUAGCCAACCAACCCAACCAAAUGUACACUGAAACACAACCUUUUAUUGCCUUGCCUCCUCGCUUUGGGAUGUCUGUCCUCAUUCUUUAGGCUAUAUAUGGAGGCAAGGUGCCAUCCACAUGCCUUGUUCAGCACUGUUGCCAUCAGGGGGGCUAAGGGUGCACUAAAUCAUAGGGAAACACUCCCUCUUAACUAUACUACGUUUUAGUAUUUUAAAGUUAUGCAUGGACUAUUUAACAAUAAAAUGGUGAAAAUAUUGUAAAUCACAUUUAUAUCAAACGCUAUUACAGUAGAGGAUAUGAAACUAAGAUGUGUAAUCAAUGGAAAGGACAAUGUUGUCAUAAGUACCACCGAAAAUCUUUAAAAUUGAUUUGUAUUUGUGUUGCCUCUCUUUCUUUGCUAUGGUUAUUGUGAGUGCAUAUCUAAUAGCCUCUUCAGUACACAAUUUUCUUGAACAUAUUUUUAGUGUAUGCUUCUUGAGGCAAUUUUGUUUUUUGAUGAAAAACAAGCAAUAUAAUACCCAUGUUUCCAGGUUACUGAUGCAUUGAAAAAAUCUGGUCUUGAAUCAUCAAACUUAAUUCUUGGUAUAGACUUCACAAAGAGCGAUGAGUGGAUAGGUAGAUCUAUUUGAAAAUGAAUUAUAUAUUCUUUUUUUAACCUCUAAAAUUUCUAACUAGCAGAAGGGAAAAAAAAAUUAUAUUUCAGUGAUUCUAGGCAGGCCAUCAUAUUGAUAUUCAAACGCAGAAGUCAGUCUCAAACAAUUUUGAACCUGGCAGUGAUUCUUCAACUGAGCUCCAUUCUCCAGUCUCCAUUCCAUCAUGGAUUUGCUCACCCAAUUGCUAGCAUUCGCAGGGCUUUUUCUGGGUUUGUUGUUUUGGUAUAAUCGAUGGAUAGUUAGGACUCUCACUCACAAUAGUAAGGGCAUAUCAGCCCCAAAACCCCCUGGUGCCUGGCCAAUCAUAGGUCAUCUGCAUCUCCUAAGUGGCCAAGUCCCAAUUUUCCGAACCCUUGGAGCCAUGGCUGAUAAGCACGGCCCUGUGUUCAUGAUCCAACUAGGGAUGCACCCAGCGGUAGUGGUCAGUAGUCAUGAGGCUGUUAAGGAAUGCUUCACUACCAACGACAAGGUUUUUGCCUCACGCCCACGUUCUAGCGUGUCAAAGCUCCUGGGUUACAACUAUGCAAUGUUUGGCUCUGCACCUUAUGGACUUUUUUGGCGUGAGAUGCGCAAGCUAUCAGUGGUGGAAAUUCUCUCUGCUCGUCGUCUCAAUGAAUUGAAGGAUGUACGGAUUUCUGAAUUGGAUGCUUGCAUCAAAGACUUGUACUCACUUGGCAAAGAUAACAACUGGAUCAGUCCAAUAAAGGUGGUUAUGAGUGAGUGGUUUGAACACUUGACAUUCAAUUUCGCCCUUAGGAUGAUUGCAGGGAAGAGAUAUUUUGAUAACGCGGUCCAUGGAAAUGAAGAGGCAAGGGGUGCUAUAAUAACUAUUAAGAAAUACCUGUCUCUAUCUGGGGCCUUUGUUCCAUCAGAUGUGUUCCCAUUUCUUGAACGGUUGGAUUUGCAAGGCUAUUUGGGCUCCAUGAAGCAUGUUACAGAGGAAUUGGACUGUCUUGUAGGAAGUUGGGUAGAAGAACAUGUUAUGAGGUUAAAGAGUGAGCCCGGAUGCAGGCAUGACUUCAUUGAUGUACUGCUAUCAACAGUCCAGGACACGUCCAUGUUCGGCCACACCCGUGAAACUGUUAUCAAG
rnacentral:lncRNA from 1 species